rnacentral:rRNA from 1 species
UUCGGUGACUAUGGCGGAAAGGAAACACCCGUUCCCAUUUCGAACACGGAAGUUAAGCUUUCCCGCGCCGAUGGUACUGCUCUGGUGACGGGGUGGGAGAGUAGGUCGUUGCCGAGA